rnacentral:rRNA from 1 species
UACGAAGGGGGCUAGCGUUGUUCGGAAUUACUGGGCGUAAAGCGCACGUAGGCGGAUAUUUAAGUCAGGGGUGAAAUCCCGGGGCUCAACCCCGGAACUGCCUUUGAUACUGGGUAUCUUGAGUUCGGAAGAGGUGAGUGGAAUUGCGAGUGUAGAGGUGAAAUUCGUAGAUAUUCGCAGGAACACCAGUGGCGAAGGCGGCUCACUGGUCCGAUACUGACGCUGAGGUGCGAAAGCGUGGGGAGCAAACAGGG